CCAUAUGCAGCCUUUUAACCUAUUUUUUUCCUCCCUUUUUUACCUGCAGUGAAAGAAAUGCCGACUGUGGCCACCUCCAAGCAGAUCCCAAACCAACUCUCCUACUUAGGAACCAUCCAGCUCCUCGGGAAGGAGACAACAGAAACAAGUGAAGAAGGCUGCAGGACCAGGAAUGGUGGGAAUGGCUGCAGGCCAGCGCUGAGCAGGGGAGGCAAGCACCAAGCGACCUUUGGAAAGGGCUGACCGACAGUGGCCAAGGACAGCAGCACAGGCAUGCUGAUGGCUCGGGAAUCACAGCCCAGGGGCAGAAAGGAUCCACUGGGGAAGAGAUGCUCUCCAUGGGAACAGCCAAGGCUUCAGGCAGGGAGCGGGGCUGUGUUGGGUGGCCAAAGCUCUUGGGCCGGCACCGCACCGUCAUUGUUGCAAAAUGUGGAAUGUGUCUCUAGAUUAUCUCAAGUCAGGAUGUUCUUUGAUGUUAGAUUUUUGUAUACUUUCAAGCCUAAUCAGCAAGAAAGGAGGGCUAAUCAGUGGAACAGGCAGCAAACAGCAUCCCUUACUCAAGGACAUUCUGGAACUAAUAAGCUUUAGGGAUGACAUUGCUAACUUGGCAAAAUACUCAAGGUCCAUGUGUCCUAGACCUGAACUAUCUUUAUUAUAAUACUAAAAAUCA